UGGCGUCGUGUACUUGUCGCAACGUUUCAAUGGACUGCGUAUCCACCAUCGCCUGAAGAUGACGGAUACGCAAUCCAUUGAAACCUUGCGAAUAGAAGACGACGCCACUCGGUUGAUAAUCCGUGAAGAUUUCAUGUAUGUCUAUCGUUUUCGAUACAACGCGUCACGUCAUAUGACGUCAGUCGUGACUCCAUCAACGUGGAGUAAGACUCCAGCGCCAGGCGUUUUACUGGCGUGAUACACUCCGUGUACUCCAAAUUUCUUUGGAGCGACUGCAACGGUUCAGACAUAACUGAAGGUCAUUUGUUAAGGCAAUCACUUCGAUGGGAGUGGCUUGUUGGUACUAAAUAGGAGGGCGCUGUAGUGCGGAAGUUUUGCAGUGUUGCACAAUUUGACAGCCUGUCGUUAAGUGGCGUCUGCUGCAUAGUAUUGCGUAGAAGGCUUGUGUAGCGCAUCGCAUAGGUUGUCAAGCUGUCUGAAAGCAGAGAAACUGAAAUUGCCAUUGUUAAACUGCUUUUUAAGAAUGGUGUUAAGAGUGUCAAUAAUUACCGGCUUGUUUCGCUGCUGACAUAAAUUCCCCAACAUUUUUUAGAAGGAACAAAAGGUGGUGUUUCAGGCUUGACUCAAAUGCCAUACGUUCUAGUUAGAGGGAAUCUCGCAUCUUACGGACAGAGGCAGCCUUGGAGAGUCCUAGUGUCUGGAUUAAAAGCUGGAAAUGGC